GUAGGUGGCAAGCGUUGUCCGGAAUUAUUGGGCGUAAAGCGCGCGCAGGCGGUUCUUUAGGUCUGAUGUGAAAGCCCACGGCUCAACCGUGGAGGGUCAUUGGAAACUGGAGAACUUGAGUACAGAAGAGGAAAGCGGAAUUCCACGUGUAGCGGUGAAAUGCGUAGAGAUGUGGAGGAACACCAGUGGCGAAGGCGGCUUUCUGGUCUGUAACUGACGCUGAGGCGCGAAAGCGUGGGGAGCAAACAGGAUUAGAUACCCUGGUAGUCCACGCCGUAAACGAUGAGUGCUAAGUGUUAGGGGGGUUUUCCGCCCCCCUUAGUGCUGCAGCUAACGCAUUAAGCACUCCGCCCCGGGGAGUACGGCCGCAAGGCUG
rnacentral:rRNA from 1 species